rnacentral:lncRNA from 13 species
UUGAUGGUCCACUGAUUUUCAGGAGCCUCAGGGUUAACAGAAGUGUAGGUGCAAUAUGCGUCCUGUAGACGGUCAAGGAAGGCAGCCAGCGACUCCUGCGGACCCUGAGUUACAGUCCCUGCUGUGGAGAGGAAGAGAAGUAAAAUGGCCAAGGUCAUAUUUCUAAACUUCUGCAAUUCUGAUGGUUCUUUGAAGAAAAGAUCAGGGUACUACUGAACAUAUAGCAGGAAGUCCUCACCUACUUCAGAGGAAGCAGAUUUCCAGGUGUGUCUUCAAAGACAAAGGAGUUCUGUGGCAGAUUGAAGAAGGGAGAUGCACAGAUGUGUAAAGAACACUCCAGCAUGUCUCCUUCCUGCCACCAUAAGAAGAAGGACAUGUUUGCGUCCCCUUCUGCUAUUAUUGUAAAUUUCCUGAUGCCUCCUCAGCCCUGCAGAACUGCUUUAACACACAGAAUAUUAGUUCUGUAAAGGAAGGUUUUGUCUGCUUUGCUCAUUGCUACGUCCUCGACACCUGGAGUUGGAAGCUAGUCUGUGACACCUUAGAGGGAAACCUAAGGUUUUCAAGCUUUUCACUUCUCAUUGGCCUCAGAAAGUAGAAACAUGGUGAAAAAGGUGAAUAGAUGUUUAUUCCUCUAGUUCGUUCACUAACAUUUAAUGCUAAGAUCAUCUAAGGCUUAGGAUACUUUUUGUGUACCUUACCCAGCAUUGCAACACAUACCAACACAUAUGUUCACAUGCACACUCAUGAACUCAAUAGAAAUGACUUAUAAUCUUUUAUUGAACAAUCAAAUCCUCUUUGCAAAGUAACAUGUGUUCCAGGACUGGGAACAAUUCAUAGCACUUAGAUAAUAGUUUCUCAUGAAAUUCAGUUCCUCUAUGUGUGUAUCUACAUGUUACAAUAUUGGAAAGAACACAU